AACGAACGCUGGCGGCAUGCCUAAUACAUGCAAGUCGAACGAGAUCUUCGGAUCUAGUGGCGCACGGGUGCGUAACGCGUGGGAAUCUGCCCUUGGGUUCGGAAUAACAGUUAGAAAUGACUGCUAAUACCGGAUGAUGACGUAAGUCCAAAGAUUUAUCGCCCAGGGAUGAGCCCGCGUAGGAUUAGCUAGUUGGUGAGGUAAAGGCUCACCAAGGCUACGAUCCUUAGCUGGUCUGAGAGGAUGAUCAGCCACACUGGGACUGAGACACGGCCCAGACUCCUACGGGAGGCAGCAGUAGGGAAUAUUGGACAAUGGGCGAAAGCCUGAUCCAGCAAUGCCGCGUGAGCGAUGAAGGCCUUAGGGUUGUAAAGCUCUUUUACCCGGGAUGAUAAUGACAGUACCGGGAGAAUAAGCCCCGGCUAACUCCGUGCCAGCCGCCGCCGUAA
rnacentral:rRNA from 1 species